ACUCAGGAGUACUCUAUUCGAAACAAUAAUGAACAGUGUACAGAAACUGUAUACUGUGGGCACACCGGCUGGCAGUCCAACAGUGGAUAUACCGGCUGGCAGUCCAACAACAUCACGAAUCUGCUUUUCACGCAGAUAUUGCUGCUUGGAUCGACAGAGACGGCCAGUGCAACGAAUGAAGCAGUGUGUCGGGUUGGCUCGGCUCACUCGAACGGAGUCUGCGCACAAGAACUGCUGCAUCAAGUCGACAUCAACAGCUGGACACCGCCCCCUUCAACAUCGUCGUCUUCACUCUACAUAAGGAACAGCCCAGUCUGGGAUUACUUCAGCGGGCACACCGGCUGGCAGUCCAGCAACAUCACGCUGAAUCCAUUAUUGCUUUUCACGCAGACACAUAUCCCUUGCGAAGCCACACCGAUCAGGCCCAACCGACCACCCAGUGGCUUCAACGUUACUGUACAAGAGAUGCAGAACAUAGGACACACGAGAGCGCGGAUCGCGAAGUCCUCUCGAUGAAUAUAGUUUUGUCACUCGCGCCCAGUGUGCCUGCACGGAUUUUUCAGCGCUGAUAGUAGAGGCGGUACAGAAAACGCCCCGAUAGCCCAGGUGCCCAUCCAAAUGGUGAAGACGUCAGCAU